rnacentral:rRNA from 1 species
UACGUAGGGGGCAAGCGUUGUCCGGAUUUAUUGGGCGUAAAGAGCGUGUAGGCGGCCAUUCAGGUCAGCUGUGAAAACUCGAGGCUCAACCUCGAGACGUCGGUUGAAACCGUUUGGCUAGAGUCCGGAAGAGGAGAGUGGAAUUCCCGGUGUAGCGGUGAAAUGCGCAGAUAUCAGGAGGAACACCGGUGGGCGAAGGCGGGGUCUCUGGGCCGAUACU